rnacentral:lncRNA from 1 species
AAACAAAAGCUUGUCUUCAUAUCAAAUUGUUUUCACGGCGAGUGUCUUGCAAGAAGCAAGUUCUCUUCACUCUCUGAUGUCGCCCCUGCAUGUUUUUCGUGAUCUAUGUUUCUAAUUUACUUUUAGUUUUCAGUGUUGAUGGUCUAUUGUUUGUAGUUAUGUGUCUUAUCUGUACCCGGGUUUGUCUUUUGUUCAUUUAUUGUCCUACUUUAUGACUAUAAUCUAAGUGUUGAUUUUCUUUUAUAAAUCUAGUAAUUUUGUUUAAAACUUGAGUUUUCUUAUACUGAAGGACCUUUUGUCUAAUUGAAAAAACUACAUUCAAUUGUAAGAAUAUUUGAAAUUAGAUCUACGAUGACGGGUGAACGGUUGUGUGGUUUUUGGCAAUGUUGCAUGUCCACCGAUGUCCAGACAUUGUGCGAGAAAAUAUUUUAAGAAGAUACGAUGCUACUGGACACAGAAAAAUGGUCUUUUCUUCAUGGAGAAUUGAAUUUAAUAUUAAAGAAUACAAAACUGGCUCUCUUUUUUGUAGAUAAAACUAGAUAGCUGACAUGGGUUAAAUUAAAGUGAGACCACCAAUCUCGCGGUAUCAAAUCAUUUGAAAAAAACAACAAUGUAUUGCCAUAUAUGACCUUUUACAUUAAAGCGCUUGCAAUUAAGUCGUGUUCAGACCCUUUAAUACAAAAUAAAGGAAUAUGGAGUAAACGUGCACGGGACUUAAUCGCACACAAAGUCAAUACAUAGAAAAAAUACAAAUUAUCUAUGAUCAGGGUUUUUAUCCCUGUUCUUCAUCUUGAUAGUCGCUGGCCUGAGGGUCUUCAGCAAUGAAAGAAUCAUUAAUACCAUAAAACAAAGUCAAGAUGGUCCCUAAUGUCGACUUAAGCGGUACUUAAAGUAUAAUACUGCACCUGUCACUAUAUCUAAAUUCAGUCAUAAAAAAAAUUCUCCAAAGUCUAAA